AUUGAACGCUGGCGGCAGGCCUAACACAUGCAAGUCGAGCGGUAGAGAGAAGCUUGCUUCUCUUGAGAGCGGCGGACGGGUGAGUAACGCCUAGGAAUCUGCCUAGUGGUGGGGGAUAACGUUCGGAAACGGACGCUAAUACCGCAUACGUCCUACGGGAGAAAGCGGGGGACCUUCGGGCCUCGCGCCAUUAGAUGAGCCUAGGUCGGAUUAGCUAGUUGGUGAGGUAAUGGCUCACCAAGGCUACGAUCCGUAACUGGUCUGAGAGGAUGAUCAGUCACACUGGAACUGAGACACGGUCCAGACUCCUACGGGAGGCAGCAGUGGGGAAUAUUGGACAAUGGGCGAAAGCCUGAUCCAGCCAUGCCGCGUGUGUGAAGAAGGUCUUCGGAUUGUAAAGCACUUUAAGUUGGGAGGAAGGGUAGUAACUUAAUACGUUGCUACUUUGACGUACCG
rnacentral:rRNA from 1 species